AACCAAGAUGAGUGCCUGUAGCACCCUAC
rnacentral:piRNA from 1 species